UACGAAGGGUGCAAGCGUUACUCGGAAUUACUGGGCGUAAAGCGUGCGUAGGUGGUUUUUUAAGUCCGUUGUGAAAGCCCUGGGCUCAACCUGGGAAUGGCAGUGGAUACUGGAAAGCUAGAGUGCGGUAGAGGGUAGUGGAAUUCCCCGGUGUAGCAGUGAAAUGCGUAGAGAUCGGGAAGAACACCAGUGGCGAAGGCGGCUCACUGGACUGGUAUUGACGCUGAGGUGCGAAAAGCGUGGGGGAGCAAACAGGG
rnacentral:rRNA from 1 species